UGUUUCGAGUUACUCCGGAACACCCGGGAUUUUUCGUAUUUAGCCACGCCGGUCACGUGAUAUGAGCAAAAUGUUCCACAGGGGUACUUCCGGUUAAUUUUGUUUACACUGGUAACAAAAUUGUUUUUGACAAAAUAUAGAUUUUGCGGCACAAACUGUCGCAAAUCAGAUAAAGGAUAGCAAGGGAUAUAUAUUUACUUGGGAAGAUGUCAAAGUUUACCUUUUCCCAAACCCGGGAUAAGCGUUCACGCAGAGGAAACGAUGGUGUCAUUUGUGUAGAAAACCACGAGCAGCCGAAAUUGAGUGCGAUUAUUACAUUCCGUGAAAGCUGAACCAACAAAGAAACAUCAUUGUUCUAGCCAGUUUGCUUAUAUUAACUUUUAGGAAAACCAAGAGGUUGAUAACAAUGGCUGAUCUGCAUAUAAUGACUGCUAGUUAUUGGCUGGUAUGCAGUGAAAGGGAGCUAAAAAGGAGUAAAAAGUUCAUAUCAGCCAGGUGAGAAUUAAUUUCUUCUUUUUUGUGUGUUAUACAUAUGUAAUUCUUUUCUAUUGCUGCUUCAAAUCUUGUGUAUUUGAAAAUUUUCAGUCUAAUAUUUGGCAAUGUUAUAGGUAGUGUGGUUUAAAUAAACCAGUGUUAAGGAAUAUCCAGUAAUGACAUGACGUCAUGAGAGUUUGGUAUACCGACAUUCAGAUGAUUAAUGAUGAAACUGAAGACCUCAAGUGAAAGGCAUGGAAAAUUAUCCUGUUCCCAUUAACCUGAAAAAGAGGAGGGAUGCCACAAUAUUGAUAAUAGACUUUUGUCAAUUUGAGAAGCAAAGAUGUAAAAAAUAAAAUAAAAUAAAUAAAUAAUGCUGAAAUUAUAAUUCAUGUAUUUGUUAAAAAUACUGUUCACUGUACAUACAUGUAUAUUUUUUUAACUUAUUUGGAAAUACAUGAAGUAAUUCAUAUUAAAACUGAAUGUAUGAGUUUUCAUGAUUUUUAUCAAUAAAGCUUACCAUAUUUAUUG